GAUGAACGCUGGCGGCGUGCCUAAUACAUGCAAGUCGAACGAAACUUCUUUAUCACCGAGUGCUUGCACUCACCGAUAAAGAGUUGAGUGGCGAACGGGUGAGUAACACGUGGGCAACCUGCCCAAAAGAGGGGGAUAACACUUGGAAACAGGUGCUAAUACCGCAUAACCAUAGUUACCGCAUGGUAACUAUGUAAAAGGUGGCUAUACUACCGCCUUUGGAUGGGCCCGCGGCGCAUUAGCUAGUUGGUAGGGUAAAGGCUUACCAAGGCAAUGAUGCGUAGCCGAAUUGAGAGGUUGAUCGGCCACAUUGGGACUGAGACACGGCCCAAACUCCUACGGGGGGCAGCAGUAGGGAAUCUUCCACAAUGGGCGAAAGCCUGAUGGAGCAACGCCGCGUGGGUGAAGAAGGUCUUCGGAUCGUAAAACCCUGUUGUUAGAGAAGAAAGUGCGUGAGAGUAACUGUUCACGUUUCGACGGUAUCUAACCAGAAAGCCACGGCUAACUACGUG
rnacentral:rRNA from 1 species